GUACUCUGGUUUCUCUUCAAUCCACGCUUAAAUCUUUCGCCUUUUACUAAAGAUUUCCGUGGAGAGGAACAUAAAAUGAGUCUAUAGACUUAUUUUUGAAACCCUACCUUGGUAGGGU
rfam:Crassostrea gigas strain 05x7-T-G4-1.051#20 contig6266, whole genome shotgun sequence.